AUUGAACGCUGGCGGCAAGCCUAACACAUGCAAGUCGAACGGAGUGGCGGACGGGUGAGUAAUGUCUGGGAAACUGCCUGAUGGAGGGGGAUAACGUCCGGAAACGGGCGCUAAUACCGCAUACUAUCAGAUGAGCCAAGGUGGGAUUAGCUAGUUGGUGGGGUAACGGCCUACCAGGGCGACGAUCCGUAACUGGUCUGAGAGGAUGAUCAGUCACACUGGAACUGAGACACGGUCCAGACUCCUACGGGAGGCAGCAGUGGGGAAUAUUGGACAAUGGGCGAAAGCCUGAUGCAGCCAUGCCGCGUGUGUGAAGAAGGUCUUCGGAUUGUAAAGCACUUUAAGUUGGGAGGCGUUACCAACAGAAUAAGCACCGGCGAACUACGUGCCAGCAGCCGCGGUAAUAC
rnacentral:rRNA from 1 species